rnacentral:rRNA from 1 species
GGUUAAGCGACUAAGCGUACACGGUGGAUGCCCUGGCAGUCAGAGGCGAUGAAGGACGUGCUAAUCUGCGAAAAGCGUCGGUAAGGUGAUAUGAACCGUUAUAACCGGCGAUGUCCGAAUGGGGAAACCCAGUGUGAUUCGUCACACUAUCGUUAACUGAAUACAUAGGUUAACGAGGCGAACCGGGGGAACUGAAACAUCUAAGUACCCCGAGGAAAAGAAAUCAACCGAGAUUCCCCCAGUAGCGGCGAGCGAACGGGGAGCAGCCCAGAGUCUGAAUCAGCUUGUGUGUUAGUGGAACGGUCUGGAAAGUCCGACGGUACAGGGUGAUAGUCCCGUACACCAAAAUGCACAGGUUGUGAACUCGAAGAGUAGGGCGGGACACGUGGUAUCCUGUCUGAAUAUGGGGGGACCAUCCUCCAAGGCUAAAUACUCCUGACUGACCGAUAGUGAACCAGUACCGUGAGGGAAAGGCGAAAAGAACCCCGGCGAGGGGAGUGAAAAAGAACCUGAAACCGUGUACGUACAAGCAGUGGGAGCACCUUCGGGUGUGACUGCGUACCUUUUGUAUAAUGGGUCAGCGACUUAUAUUCUGUAGCAAGGUUAACCGUAUAGGGGAGCCGCAGGGAAACCGAGUCUUAACUGGGCGUUAAGUUGCAGGGUAUAGACCCGAAACCCGGUGAUCUAGCCAUGGGCAGGUUGAAGGUUGGGUAACACUAACUGGAGGACCGAACCGACUAAUGUUGAAAAAUUAGCGGAUGACUUGUGGCUGGGGGUGAAAGGCCAAUCAAACCGGGAGAUAGCUGGUUCUCCCCGAAAGCUAUUUAGGUAGCGCCUCGUGAACUCAUCUUCGGGGGUAGAGCACUGUUUCGGCUAGGGGGUCAUCCCGACUUACCAACCCGAUGCAAACUACGAAUACCGAAGAAUGUUAUCACGGGAGACACACGGCGGGUGCUAACGUCCGUCGUGAAGAGGGAAACAACCCAGACCGCCAGCUAAGGUCCCAAAGUCAUGGUUAAGUGGGAAACGAUGUGGGAAGGCACAGACAGCCAGGAUGUUGGCUUAGAAGCAGCCAUCAUUUAAAGAAAGCGUAAUAGCUCACUGGUCGAGUCGGCCUGCGCGGAAGAUGUAACGGGGCUAAACCAUGCACCGAAGCUGCGGCAGCGACACUAUGUGUUGUUGGGUAGGGGAGCGUUCUGUAAGCCUGCGAAGGUGUGCUGUGAGGCAUGCUGGAGGUAUCAGAAGUGCGAAUGCUGACAUAAGUAACGAUAAAGCGGGUGAAAAGCCCGCUCGCCGGAAGACCAAGGGUUCCUGUCCAACGUUAAUCGGGGCAGGGUGAGUCGACCCCUAAGGCGAGGCCGAAAGGCGUAGUCGAUGGGAAACAGGUUAAUAUUCCUGUACUUGGUGUUACUGCGAAGGGGGGACGGAGAAGGCUAUGUUAGCCGGGCGACGGUUGUCCCGGUUUAAGCAUGUAGGCUGGUU